rnacentral:misc_RNA from 1 species
AUUGAAUGACAUUGAAAAUCAUUGCAUGUGCUAGAGAUUGAAACGAACUUGAAAAUGUUGCGAUUGCCCCCUAAAGUCGACCCAGAAGAACAAAAGAAAAUAGCGAGAUAUGGGUGCAUACAGAGCGUUUGUGUAUUUGCAGUCACAUGUGCCGUUAUCCGUGCUCUACCAUAUGUUAUGAAGCAGCUGAAUUCCUAAGGACUGUUGCUCUGCUGGGAGGUCAAGAGAGCUGUACAUAGUUUGACAAUGCCUCAUGGAGGAAAAUGUAGAUACUGGACACUGCAUAACAAAUUUGUUUGUGAUGAUGAUGAGCAUCCUGUUUUUGCAGUUAUAUGAUGAUAAAUAAAUGUAUCUCGCAUAUCU